GGGCAGGAGAGGUCACGAGGAGAUGUCACAGGUCACGGAGAGCCGCCAAUCACGCUUUAGCCUCAACAUUUUGACAUGCGCCCAAUGAUUGCCACAGAGAGAGAGAGAGAGUCAUGUGACCCGGCAGAAAACUCCAAUUAGAGCGCGGAGGUUACAAGUUCUUGGAAACCGAAGGGAUGUGAGUCACAGUGUGAAGUGCAAAACCUUGGAAAAUGCUUUUAAUCACCGAUUUGAAGCUCCUGACUUUUUCGGCAACUGCUGCCAAACCCAUGUGACCUGAAGUACCUUAAAGUGUUUUAAGGCUUGAAUUCUUACUGCCACAUGUGAAGGACGAUAUGAGACACUGCGCUUCUGUCCGAGAGAAAGCAUGUGUUGAGCGAUGGAGAGCUGAGAUUCGGAGGAGAGAGCGGGUCACCUGGAGUCCAGAGACUAUAAAUGAGGUUUACACGAGUCCUGUGAAAGAGGUAUUCAUUAACCGUGAUGUUUGCAUGGUGACUAAAGCUGAAGGAAUCUGUCAAUUCAACUCCACUUGAGCUCAGUGAAAGCUUUAAUGGUUUGCAUGAUGAUUUAAACCUGUGUUGAUGCUCCUGGCGUCCUUCAUACGGAUUAUUCUGAUGUAAUGCAAUCAAACUUAAUGAAUAAUUCACUCCAAAAUCAAACUUUUGUAAUUAUUUACUUGUCCUCGUGUCAUUGCGUGGAAAAGAAUUGCUUCAAAACUUCAGGUUCAGUGCAUUUACACCACAAUGAUGUGCUACAAACAGAAAGUUUUUCCUAAAACGUUGUCAAAAUUAUUAAUGUUUGCAUGGAUCAGUGAAAAACAACUUUAAAAAACGCUUUAUAAUGCAUUGUCAGGAGUCAUUUUAUAAAGACACACAUAACACAGAUGAUUAAUUGAGAUUUCGUAGUUUACAUUAAGAAAAUAAGGGUGUUGUUUUCACAAACUUGCACAAUGAAAUGAUGAUGUUUUCAAAAGUUUGCAUAUUCAGAACAAAUGAAUAAAAAGUUUUCCAUCUUUAAUUGAAAUUUCGAUUUUUUUUUCUUUCGUUUUUUUCUGCUGACGUUCACUAAAUUAAAGGGUUAAUUGAUUUGGCUUGGGUUAAUUAGUGAAAACAGGUGAUGCUGGUUAAUGAGAGCCUUUAAAAACCCUUUGUUCGAAACACUUUGGUAAAGAAAUAAGCAAGAGAGAACGAGUGUGAAAACUGAAAACUGUGUUUAAUGUUGAAGGAAGGAGUGUGAAAAUUGAGAGAUUGUGUUAGUGAGGGAGACUUUAUUUUCUUUGAAGACAAAGACAUAGAAAGCUGUCCUUUUUUUUAGGAUUCAGUUGACAAAGACAAAUAUUAGUUGAGCUUCAAAAUCUUUAGUUUUGGGACUCAUAACUGCAUUUAAUGCAUGUGCAAUAUGUGGUGAAACACUAGAAUUGAACCAAACCCUUUUAAAACCUGAACUAGAUGUGUGCACAAAAUCACAUUUUUGAGAAAUGGCUUAUACCUCAAUG